GCCUGGGUGGCUCAGUCGGUGAAGCAUCUGACUUUGGCAAGGGUCAUGAUCUCAUGAUUUGUGGGUUCAAGCCCCGCAUCAGGCU
rnacentral:tRNA from 1 species